GCGUUGAAAAGCUCGGGGAUGACUUGUGGGUAGCGGUGAAAUUCCAAUCGAGCCCGGAGAUAGCUGGUUCUCCCCGAAAUAGCUUUAGGGCUAGCCUCAAGGUGAGAGAUACGGAGGUAGAGCACUGAAUGUCCUAGGGGGUAUUGCACCUACCGAAGACUAUCAAACUCCGAAUGCCGUCAUCUUAUACUUGGGAGUCAGACUGUGGGUGAUAAGAUUCAUAGUCGAAAGGGCAACAGCCCAGAUCGUCAGCUAAGGUCCCUAAAUGUAAGUUAAGUGGUAAAGGAUGUGGGAUUGCACAGACAACCAGGAUGUUGGCUUAGAAGCAGCCACUCAUUCAAAGAGUGCGUAAUAGCUCACUGGUCGAGUGAUCCUGCGCCGAAGAUUUCCGGGGCUAAAACUUACUACCGAAGCUACGGCAUCAGUAAUGAUGGGUAGGGGAGCUUCCCAUACGGGUUGAAGCAUGACCGUAAGGACAUGUGGACAGUAUGGGAGUGAGAAUGUUGGCAUGAGUAGCGAGAUGUGGGUGGGAAUCCCACAGGCCGUAAACCCAAGGUUUCCAGGGGAAGGUUCGUCCGCCCUGGGUUAGUCGGGACCUAAGCUGAGGCCGAAAGGCGUAGGUGAUGGACAACAGGUUGAUAUUCCUGUACUACCGAUAACCGUUUGAGAGAAGGGAUGACACAGUAGGAUAAGCUAAGCACACUGUUGGUUAUGUGUGCCCAAGCAUUGAGGCAGUCAAAGUAGGUAAAUCCGCUUUGAUAAUGCUGGGAUGUGAUGGGGAGCGAAAUUUAGUAGCGAAGUAGCUGAUUUCACACUGUCAAGAAAAGUCUCUAUCGAGGUUAAAGGUACCCGUACCGCAAACCGACACAGGUGGGUGAGGAGAGUAUCCUAAGGCCAGCGAGAGAACUGUUGUUAAGGAACUCGGCAAAAUGACCCCGUAACUUAGGGAUAAGGGGUGCCACCAUCAGGUGGCCGCAGAGAAUAGGCCCAAGCGACUGUUUACCAAAAACAUAGGUUUCUGCUAAGUCGCAAGACGAUGUAUAGGAGCUGACGCCUGCCCGGUGCUGGAAGGUUAAGGGGAUCUGUUAGAGCAAUCGAAGCAGUGAACUUAAGCCCCAGUAAACGGCGGCCGUAACUAUAACGGUCCUAAGGUAGCGAAAUUCCUUGUCGGGUAAGUUCCGACCCGCACGAAAGGCGUAACGAUUUGGGCACUGUCUCAACAACAGACUCGGUGAAAUUGUAAUUCCGGUGAAGAUGCCGGAUACCUG
rnacentral:rRNA from 1 species